rnacentral:rRNA from 1 species
AGCGAACGCUGGCGGCAGGCUUAACACAUGCAAGUCGAGCGGGCAUCCUUGUGGUGUCAGCGGCUGACGGGUGAGUAACGCGUGGGAACGUGCCCUUCGGUUCGGAAUAACUCAGGGAAACUUGAGCUAAUACCGGAUACGUGCGAGAGCAGAAAGGUUUAUCUGCCGAAGGAUCGGCGCGCGUCUGAUUAGCUAGUUGGUGAGGUUAUGGCUCACCAAGGCGACGAUCAGUAGCUGGGGUGAGAGAAUGAUCAGCCACACUGGGACUGGGAAACGGCCCAGACUCUUACGGGAGGCAGCAGUGGGGGAUAUUGGACAAUGGGGGCAACCAUGAUGCAGCCAGGCCGCGUGAGUGAUGACGGCCUUAGGGUUGUAAAGCGCUUUUCUCCGGGACGAUAAUGACGGUACCGGAGGAAUAAGCCCCGGCUAACUUCGUG